GCCAAUAUUCUUUUCUUGAAUCCUUGCUUUCUUCUAUCCAUAAAUUUUCUAAAUUUUUUGAGAACUAGGGCUAUGUCUUCAUUACCUUCUUCAUCUUCAGAUGAUUUUUCAUCAUCCUCAUCAUUUGUCACUAAUUUAAGGGCUAUUAUCUUCUUCUUUUUGUCUUUCUCAUCAUUGUGCUACUUCAUGGCUAGCUCAUGUGUCAUCAAUGAUCCAAGCAGCUCCUCAAGUGGUAAUUUAUUUAAGUCCUUUACUUCUUGGAUGGUAAUUAUUU
rnacentral:lncRNA from 1 species